GGGGAAUAUUGCACAAUGGGCGAAAGCCUGAUGCAGCAACGCCGCGUGAGGGAUGACGGCCUUCGGGUUGUAAACCUCUUUUAGUAGGGAAGAAGCGUAAGUGACGGUACCUGCAGAAAAAGCACCGGCUAACUACGUGCCAGCAGCCGCGGUAAUACGUAGGGUGCAAGCGUUGUCCGGAAUUAUUGGGCGUAAAGAGCUCGUAGGCGGCUUGUCGCGUCUGCUGUGAAAUCCCGGAGCUCAACUCCGGGCCUGCAGUGGGUACGGGCAGGCUAGAGUGCGGUAGGGGAGAUUGGAAUUCCUGGUGUAGCGGUGGAAUGCGCAGAUAUCAGGAGGAACACCGAUGGCGAAGGCAGAUCUCUGGGCCGCUACUGACGCUGAGGAGCGAAAGCAUGGGGAGCGAAC
rnacentral:rRNA from 1 species